UGGGAAUUAUGGUUGGUUUGGGUGUCUUCUGAACUUUUGGUACUAAACAUUUGCCAUCUGUAAACACUUACUGGACUUACAAUGAUUGGAGAAGAUACAGGCAUGUUUGUAGCAAAGGGAAUAUAGGACAGCUCCAAGAUCUGGGGCGGUUUAUAGUCUUUGCAGAGGAGGUUCUUCUUGAAAUUUUUCCUCAAAUGUAACCAAAAUUGCCUAAAGAAUGCGGGAAACCCACGUGACAUGCGGAGAUUCCAGGUCGUGGUGUCUACGACAGUCAAUGUGGAUGGCCAUGUCCUGGCAGUCUCUGAUAACAUGUUUGUCCAUAAUAAUUCCAAGCAUGGGCGGAGGGCUCGGAGGCUUGACCCCUCGGAAGGUACGCCCUCUUAUCUGGAACAUGCUACUCCCUGUAUCAAAGCCAUCAGCCCGAGUGAAGGAUGGACGACGGGAGGCGCGACUGUGAUCAUCAUAGGGGACAAUUUCUUUGAUGGGUUACAGGUCAUAUUCGGUACCAUGCUGGUCUGGAGUGAGUUGAUCACUCCUCACGCCAUCCGUGUGCAGACCCCUCCUCGGCACAUCCCUGGUGUUGUGGAAGUCACACUGUCCUACAAAUCUAAGCAGUUCUGCAAAGGAACACCAGGCAGAUUCAUUUACACAGCGCUCAAUGAACCCACCAUCGAUUAUGGUUUCCAGAGGUUACAGAAGGUCAUUCCUCGGCACCCUGGUGACCCUGAGCGUUUGCCAAAGGUGAGGAUACUGCCUUUUUGUAAUU
rnacentral:sRNA from 1 species